rnacentral:lncRNA from 1 species
GGGGGCCCCCAUCUUAGUCUCUCCGCCGCCAUCUCCUUCUGCACUGCCGCCAUCUUACUACCUGCUUCCUCACCACCGCCAUCUUACUUCCUUUUUUCUCUGCCGCCAUUUUAGUUCUUCUGCCGCCAUUCGGCCGCCAUUUUAAUUCCCGUUAGUUCCCAUUUGUUCUUUUAACCCUGCCCAGCUAACUCCUUGGCUUCCAUCUUACCCCCAUUCUUAUUUCCACCUCCCCAUAGUGUCAUACCAGUCCACUACAUCUACAAACUCCUAACACAUUCGCUGCGGGCAGUGAUAUCUGCUAAUCCUGGAUGAGGCAGCGGAGGGCCCCCAAACCCCUAUCCAGGACUUAGUAAAGCUGGCGUUCAAAGUUUUUAAUUCCUGAGAGGAGGCGGCUGAGGUACAACGACAGGCAAGCCUGAAACAAAAAGUUCAGCUCCAAACCCAAGCCCUGGCAGCUGCCCUGCAACCGGCAUUCCCUAAGAGCCCCGGCAGGAGAGGUAGAGGUACAAUCUCCCGGGCCCCGUCUGGUGCCUGCUUCAAGUGCAGCAACUCAGGACACUGGGCCAGCCGGUGCCCCAGCCAACAGCAACCGUCCUACUCGCCUUGCAACUGUUUCAAGUGCAGCAAUCCAGGUCAUUGGGCAAAACAGUGCCCAAACCCCAAGCCGCCAACACGCCCGUGCCCUAACUGCCAACAAAUGGGGCACUGGAGGUCAGACUGCCCCAGCCUCGGAGUGGCCGCUGUGUCUCCACAUGGCGACCCCUCCCCGGAUGGCGAAGGUGCCCUCUAGCUCCUCCAACUGGAUGACGACUGAAGAGGCCCAGACUCAGGAACCCCUCUCACCCUUGCCGAGCCCAGGGUAAUGCUUCAGGUAGUGGGAAAAUGGGAUGUCAUCGAAGCCCUUUAAGAAAAGGAGGGAUGUGAUCAGAUUUGUAAUUUUCAAAGAUUUCCUGAGGUGCUGUGAAUUUUACAGAUCAACUGAGACGCAAAACCCAUGUUCACAUCAUGGGUGAGUCUUCUAACUCGGACAACGCAAUCAACAAAUUCUAAGACCAAAUUCCGGCGGCACUGGCUCCAAAGCUCCUGAGUGUGGAAGGAGGGGAACAGGGAAAAGCAGAGAGGACAAAAGUCACAUCCCCUCCCCACAGACCCAUACUGGGGAAGGGUGGAAGAUUUAGCUGCGAGUCAAGUUCAGAAUUUUGAUUAACAUCUUGGCAUGCACAUUCGAAUUUCAGAAUCAAGACUGUUGGCCAUAAAAAAUGACUAUAGCCUUGUAUAUUACCUGAACUGAGCAGUAAAAAAAAAGUCAUGGUCCUUCUGGGGCUUUUAUUCUGAGACAGGAACCCUGAACAGGCAGGAGAAAGGGAAUGUUGAGAGAGAAACAAAGACAGCUGGCGACACACGCUGACCGCCAUGCGGACGUCCAUCAAACCCAGCACUGGCCCUGGGUACAUGCGCCUUUGCUAUUACCCCAAUACAUUUUCUUCUGCAGAGCAAGCAACAGAACACAUGCAGACCUUAAUAAAUACCACUGGGUAAUGUGACAAUGGCCAAACUCUCCUCACGGGGGAGAGAGUGUCCCCCAGUUUUGCUCCCUUUUAAUUUCCAGGGUUCAUAAGUAGCUCUAAAGCUUUGCUCUACGAGGUUGAUACAUACGAUAUUAAUGUUUCCCCUAAGCAGUAUAACAUAAAUAUAUUUGCUAUCUUGACAUUCUGGGUUUGGUUUUUCAGUGUUGGCGUAAGUGGGUUUUAUACUUUCUGGAGCAAGAGUUCAUCACCAAAGGGAAAAUGCUGUCCACCCCACCCUCUUUGAAAGAAAAGGCUCAGCCCAUAGUUCUCCAGAUGAAAGAAAUGUUCCUAAUCAGCUAUUUCUUGUUGCUUGAUUGGAUGUUAACAAUGGAGGUAGACACACAGCUA